UACGGAGGGGGCAAGCGUUAUUCGGAAUUAUUGGGCGUAAAGGGCGCGUAGGCGGCUAGAUGUGUCAAAGGUGAAAUCCCUCGGCUCAACUGAGGAACUGCCUUUGAAACUGUCUGGCUUGAGGCCGGGAGAGGGAAGCGGAAUUCCGGGUGUAGCGGUGAAAUGCGUAGAUAUCCGGAGGAACACCGGUGGCGAAGGCGGCUUCCUGGACCGACACUGACGCUGAGGCGCGAAAGCUAGGGGAGCAAACGGG
rnacentral:rRNA from 1 species